AAGGAAUUGACGGAAGGGCACCACCCAGGAGUGGAGCCUGUGGCUUAAUUUGACUCAUCACGGGAAAUCUCCACCAGGCCCGGACACGAGAAGGGAUGACAGAUUGAUAGCUCUUUCUUGAUUUCGUGGGUGGUGGUGCAUGGCCGCUCUUAGUUGGUGGAGUGAUUUGUCUGGUUAAUUCCGAUAACGAACGAGACUCUGUCCUGCUAACUAGUGUCCGCUUCUUUUCUGAGCGGAUUAUUCUUCUUAGAGGGACUGGUAGCUCUUAGCUACACGAGAUUGAGCAAUAACAGGUCUGUGAUGCCCUUAGAUGUUCUGGGCCGCACACGCGCUACACUGAAUGGAUCAGCUAGUUACUCCCUCUCCGAGAGGAGCGGGUAAACUGUUGAACCCCAUUCGUGGUAGGGAUCGGAGCUUGCAAUUGUUCUCCGUGAACCAGGAAUUCCCAGUAGGCGCAAGUCAUAAGCUUGCGUCGAUUACGUCCCUGCCCUUUGUACACACCGCCCGUCGCUACUACCGAUUGAGCGUUUUAGUGAGGUCCUCGGACUGCUUGCCUGGCGGUUUACGCUGCCUCGCUGGUGGAAAGACGACCAAACUGUAGCGCUUAGAGGAAGUAAAAGUCGUAACAAGGUAA
rnacentral:rRNA from 1 species